GAAAGCUUAUACGGUCUGCCCACUUUCUCAGUGAAAGACAGAUAUGCAUAUCGGCCACUCUCCACCAGCUCCAUUUGUUCCUGACACAGCUUCGCACAGUCGGCUUAUUGCUUCCCUGCAGGAUAGAAAAGACAGUACAUACUAUUGACCACUUAACAGCAUCCGCUACAAAAAGAUCCCUAAACAAGUUUGAAUGCAGGUGUGAACCUCUUUGGAAAUCUUAGUCAGACCACCACAGGUUGAAAACCACUGAAU